rnacentral:tRNA from 3 species
GGGCGGGUAGCUCAGCGGUAGAGCAUUCGACUUUUAAUCGACUGGUCAUGGGUUCGAUCCCCAUCCCGCCCACCA